GCCUUUGUGGUGUAGUGGUCAGCCCGCUCGACGCGUAAUCGAGAGGUCCGUGGUUCGAUUCCCGGCGAAGGCG
rnacentral:tRNA from 1 species